rnacentral:misc_RNA from 1 species
GAAAUGCGAUAAGUAAUGUGAAUUGCAGAAUUCAGUGAAUCAUCGAAUCUUUGAACGCACAUUGCGCCCUUUGGUAUUCCAAAGGGCAUGCCUGUUCGAGCGUCAUUUGUACCCUCAAGCUUUGCUUGGUGUUGGGCGUCUUGUCUCCAGUUCGCUGGAGACUCGUCUUAAAGUCAUUGGCAGCCGGCCUCCUGGUUUAGGAGCGCAGAACAAGUCGAGCUCUCUUACAGCCAAGGUCAGCGUCCAGUAAGCCUUUUUUUCAACUUUUGACCUCGGAUCAGGUAGGGAUACCCCCUGAACUUAA